rnacentral:lncRNA from 1 species
AUGUACUAGAAACUAUUGUUUGUAAUAGAGAAAAGUUAGAAACAACCUGUCAAUGGAUUAAUACAUUGUGGUAUAUUCCUAGAGUGGAAUACUAUGCAAUAGGGGAAAAUAAAGUAGAGAUAUCUCCCAUAAUGAGAUCCAUAUGGGCUAUAGGGGAAGACCAUGAAACAUUGCCAUAUGAGAAAAGCAAUUUAGGAAAGUGUUUAAAUAAAUAUGGUGCCUCUAUACAGUGAGAUACUAGGCAAUCAGUAAUAAUGAGUUGGUAGAACAAUACGUAUUAAGUGGAAAGAUGUUCAAGAUAUUAAUAUUUUACCAAACAGUGAAUGGAAUAAUCUUUUCUAUCCAAUAGAAUGUCUUUUAAUAAAAGUAUGCACAUAUAUGCUUAAAUAUAUACAGAGUAUCUCUGGAAGGACAUGCAAGAAACUGAUAACUUGUUUUCUCCCAGGGAGUAGAAAAGGAAGGUUGGGUGAAGAAGGGGAUAUUUAUUUUUUACUUUACACCCUUGGGUGCUACAAAAUUUUUACAUGAGUACAUGUAUAUGUGUAUGUGUGCACACACACAUAUGUACACAUACAUAUAUAUGGGUUUAUUCUGUUGCUCUAAGGUUUGUGUUUCUUCGUGUUUUACCUGUAAAACUUCAUCUGUGAUAUGGUUUGGUUCUGUGUCCCUGCCCAAAACUCAUCUUGAGUUGUAAUCCCCACAUGUCAGGGGAGGGGCCUGGUGGGAGGUGAUUAAAUCAUGGGACAGACUUCCCCCUUACUGUUCUCGUGCUAGUGAGUGAGUUCUCACGAGAUCCGGUUGUGUGAAAGUGUGUGGCAUCUCCCCCUUUGCUGUCUGUCUCUCUCCUGCUCUGCCGUUGUAAAUAUGUGCACCCUUCCCUUGACCUUCUGCCAUGAUUGUAAGUUUCCUGAGGCCUUCUAGUCAUGCUUCCUGUUAAGCCUGUGGAACUAUGAGUCAAUUAAACCUCUUUUCUUUAUAAAUUACCCAAUCUCAAGUAGUUCUUUAUAGCAGUGUGAGAACAGACUAAUACAAUCUGGAAUUUUUAUUGGUAGAAAGAGUAAGGUCACAAGGAGCAGCGGCUCACACCUGUAAUUCCAGCACUUUGGGAGACUGAGGCAGGAGGAUUACUUAAGGCCAGGAGGUCAAGGCUGCAGUGAACUAUGACUGCCACUUCACUCCAGCCUGGGCAACAGAGUGAGAUCCGACUCAAAAAAAAAAA